GGACCCGCACAAGUAGUGGAGCAUGUGGUUUAAUUCGAAGAUACGCGCAGAACCUUACCAACACUUGACAUGUUCGUCGCGACUCUAAGAGAUUAGAGUUUUCGGUUCGGCCGGACGAAACACAGGUGCUGCAUGGCUGUCGUCAGCUCGUGUCGUGAGAUGUUGGGUUAAGUCCCGCAACGAGCGCAACCCUCACUUUUAGUUGCCAUCAUUAAGUUGGGCACUCUGAAAGAACUGCCAGUGAUAAGCUGGAGGAAGGUGGGGAUGACGUCAAGUCCUCAUGGCCCUUACGUGUUGGGCUACACACGUGCUACAAUGGUAUCUACAACAGGAAGCAAGACUGCGAAGUUAAGCAAAUCCCUAAAAGCUAUCUCAGUUCGGAUUGUCGUCUGCAACUCGACGGCAUGAAGUCGGAAUC
rnacentral:rRNA from 1 species